UCCCAUCCUCUUUUCAAAGAUGUCAUUUUCUGUGUCUUCUCCUGAUUUCCCAGUGCUAUACUGACAUCUCGAUUAAUUGACACAGCUCUGACUAGAAUUGUAUAGCCCUGACUAGAAUUGUAUAAAAGAAAACGUGACUAGAAGUUGACUAGCACUGAGGUCUGACUAGAGUUGAGGUCUUGACAGACGGAACCUUAAGCAAGUUGCUGUGAUAACGGUUCUUGCCCCUCCUGACCUGGUGUUCACCCACUGUGUUUAGUGGCCCAGUUGUAUCGUAAUCUUUAUUCCUCAUCCAAGCUAGCUCUGCUAGGUAAUUAUUCAUUGUUACGUGUUGCUU